GUAGGUGGCAAGCGUUGUCCGGGAAUUAUUGGGGCGUAAAGCGCGCGCAGGCGGUUCUUUAAGUCUGAUGUGAAAGCCCACGGGCUCAACCGUGGGAGGGUCAUUGGAAACUGGAGAACUUGAGUACAGAAGAGGAAAGCGGAAUUCCACGUGUAGCGGUGAAAUGCGUAGAGAUGUGGAGGAACACCAGUGGCGAAGGCGGCUUUCUGGUCUGUAGCUGACGCUGAGGCGCGAAAGCGUGGGGAGCAAACAGGAUUAGAUACCCUGGUAGUCCACGCCGUAAACGAUGAGUGCUAAGUGUUAGGGGGUUUCCGCCCCUUAGUGCUGCAGCUAACGCAUUAAGCACUCCGCCUGGGGAGUACGGCCGCAAAGGCUG
rnacentral:rRNA from 1 species